rnacentral:rRNA from 1 species
UACGUAGGGUGCAAGCGUUAAUCGGAAUUACUGGGCGUAAAGUGUGCGCAGGCGGCCGCGCAAGUCGAGUGUGAAAGCCCCGGGCUUAACUUGGGAAUUGCGCUCGAAACUACGUGGCUGGAGUGUGGCAGAGGAAGGUGGAAUUCCACGUGUAGCGGUGAAAUGCGUAGAGAUGUGGAGGAACACCAAUGGCGAAGGCAGCCUUCUGGGCCAACACUGACGCUCAUGCACGAAAGCGUGGGGAGCAAACAGG